rnacentral:rRNA from 1 species
AGUCGUAACAAGGUUUCCGUAGGUGAACCUGCAGGAAGGAUCAUUAAAGAGUAAGGGUGCUCAGCGCCCGACCUCCAACCCUUUGUUGUUAAAACUACCUUGUUGCUUUGGCGGGACCGCUCGGUCUCGAGCCGCUGGGGAUUCGUCCCAGGCGAGCGCCCGCCAGAGUUAAACCAAACUCUUGUUAUUUAACCGGUCGUCUGAGUUAAAAUUUUGAAUAAAUCAAAACUUUCAACAACGGAUCUCUUGGUUCUCGCAUCGAUGAAGAACGCAGCGAAAUGCGAUAAGUAAUGUGAAUUGCAGAAUUCAGUGAAUCAUCGAAUCUUUGAACGCACAUUGCGCCCCUUGGUAUUCCGAGGGGCAUGCCUGUUCGAGCGUCAUUACACCACUCAAGCUAUGCUUGGUAUUGGGUGCCGGCCUUAGUUGGGCGCGCCUUAGAGACCUCGGCGAGGCCUCACCGGCUUUAGGCGUAGUAGAAUUUAUUCGAACGUCUGUCAAAGGAGAGGACUUCUGCCGACUGAAACCUUUAUUUUUCUAGGUUGACCUCGGAUCAGGUAGGGAUACCCGCUGAACUUAAGCAUAUCAAUAAAAGUCG